AUUGAACGCUGGCGGCAGGCCUAACACAUGCAAGUCGAACGAGUGGCGGACGGGUGAGUAAUGUCUGGGAAACUGCCCGAUGGCGGGGGAUAACUACUGGAAACGGUAGCUAAUACCGCAUACCAUCGGAUGUGCCCAGAUGGGAUUAGCUAGUCGGUGGGGUAACGGCUCACCUAGGCGACGAUCCCUAGCUGGUCUGAGAGGAUGACCAGGCACACUGGGACGGAGACACGGUCCAGACUCAGACGGGAGGCAGCAGUGGGGAAUAGUGCACAAUGGGCGAAAGCCUGAUGCAGCCAUGCCGCGGGUAUGAAGAAGGCCUUCGGGUUGUAAAGUACUUUCAGCGAGGAGGCGUUACUCGCAGAAGAAGCACCGGCUAACUACGUGCCAGCAGCCGCGGUAAUUC
rnacentral:rRNA from 1 species